CUUAGAGCCAGAACCAUACGAGGAAACUAAGUAUGAAGCACAAAGGGCUCGGUUCAUGGGGGCAACUGUGUAUGGCGUGGGUGUCAAAGACUACGACCAAUCACAGCUGGAAGGCUUUGCAGACACAAAGGACCACGCGCUUGGAGUGACUGGAGGAUUCAGUUCCCUGCAAGGCAUCACUGACCGGCUUGCAGAAAAGAGCUGCAUUUAUUUUACAUCUUUGGAGCCUUCCACUGCUUG